GCCGAAGUGGCGGAACUGGCAGACGCGCUAGGUUCAGGGUCUAGUGGGGGAAACCUCGUGGGGGUUCAAAUCCCCCCUUCGGCA
rnacentral:tRNA from 1 species